rnacentral:rRNA from 1 species
CAACCAAAGCUGGCGACCGGCGCACGGGUGAGUAACACGUAUCCAACCUGCCUCAUACUCGGGGAUAGCCUUUCGAAAGAAAGAUUAAUAUCCGAUAGCAUAUAUUUCCCGCAUGGGUUUUAUAUUAAAGAAAUUCGGUAUGAGAUGGGGAUGCGUUCCAUUAGUUUGUUGGGGGGUAACGGCCCACCAAGACUACGGUGGAUAGGGGUUCUGAGAGGAAGGUCCCCCACAUUGGAACUGAGACACGGUCCAA